rnacentral:rRNA from 1 species
AUACGGAGGGUGCAAGCGUUAAUCGGAAUUACUGGGCGUAAAGGGUUCGUAGGCGGUUAUUUAAGUCAGAUGUGAAAGCCCCGGGCUCAACCUGGGAAUUGCAUCUGAUACUGGGUAACUAGAGUUUAAGAGAGGAGUGUGGAAUUUCCGGUGUAGCGGCGAAAUGCAUAGAGAUCGGAAGGAACAUCAGUGGCGAAGGCGGCACUCUGGCUUAAAACUGACGCUGAGGAACGAAAGCGUGGGUAGCAAACAGGAUUAGAAACCCCUGUAGUCC